rnacentral:snRNA from 1 species
GUCCUCGGGGCGGUACAUAUACUAAAAUUGGAACGAUACAGAGAAGAUUGGCAUGGCCCCUGCGCAAGGAUGACACGCAAAAUCGUGAAGCGUUCCACAUUUUU